rnacentral:rRNA from 1 species
CCUACGGGAGGCAGCAGUGAGGAAUAUUGGUCAAUGGACGAGAGUCUGAACCAGCCAAGUAGCGUGAAGGAUGACUGCCCCAUGCAUUGUAAACUUCUUUUAUCUGGGAAUAAAAUGUUCCACGUGUGCCUUUUCGUAUGUACCUUAUGAAUAAGCAUCGGCUAACUCCGUGCCAGCAGCCGCGGUAAUACGGAGGAUCCGAGCGUUAUCCGGAUUUAUUGGGUUUAAAGGGUGCGUAGGGGGAGUGUUAAGUCAGGUGUGAAAGUUUGGGGCUCAACCCUAACAGUGCAGUUGAAACUGGCUGUCUUGAGUACAGUAGAGGUGGGCGGAAUGCGUAGUGUAGCGGUGAAAUGCUUAGAUAUCACGAAGAACUCCGAUUGCGAAGGCAGUUCACUGGAGUGCAACUGACACUGAGGCACGAAAGUGUGGGUAUCAAACAGGAUUAGAUACCCUUGUAGUC